GCGGGUGUAGUUCAGUGGUAGAACGUCUCGUUGCCAACGAGAAGGUCGUGGGUUCAAGUCCCAUCGCCCGCUCCA
rnacentral:tRNA from 1 species